rnacentral:misc_RNA from 1 species
CCUUCCAGAAAUAUCAAAAGAUAUUCUAUAAUAAAUUAUCAUUGCUCACAGCAUGAGAACUAAUAACGAACACUAUGUAGUUUCUAAAAGGUUCUAGGUGUAGAUCACUAAUAGCUAAACCUGAGCUGGUGAUCUUCUUCUGGAUCCCAAUGCCUAGAAUACACAAAAUCUCACUUUAAGAAUGCAUGUCCAUUUAUUACAAUAUUCGAACAGCUAAAAUUAAAAUAUGUAGCAACUUUGGGCAAACUUCAAACUCCUUAUGAUUCGCAGUGCCACCACAAAUUAACUGGAAAAAACAGUCCUAGAAAAAAAAUCCAAUGCUGUAUGAGGAAUUUUUUUUUUCGAAGGUAUGAGGAAUAUGGAAGAAGAGAGGAUGAAACAAAACCUGAGCAGAAGCUCCACCAAGU